UGGGGGAUAUUGCACAAUGGGCGAAAGCCUGAUGCAGCGACGCCGCGUGGGGGAUGAAGGCUUUCGGGUUGUAAACCUCUUUCGCUAUCGAACAAGGCUCGCUUAGGGUGGGUUGAGGGUAGGUGGAGAAGAAGCGCCGGCUAACUACGUGCCAGCAGCCGCGGUCAUACGUAGGGCGCGAGCGUUGUCCGGAAUUAUUGGGCGUCAAGGGCUUGUAGGCGGCUUGUUGCGCCUGCUGUGAAAGCGCGGGGCUUAACUUGGGGCGUGCAGUGGGUACGGGCAGGCUUGAGUGUGGUAGAGGUGACUGGAAUUCCAGGUGUAGCGGUGGAAUGCGCAGAUAUCUGGAGGAACACCGAUGGCGAAGGCAGGUCACUGGGCCAUUACUGACGCUGGGGAGCGAAAGCAUGGGUAGCGAACAGG
rnacentral:rRNA from 1 species